rnacentral:rRNA from 1 species
CUACCCGGGUAUCUAAUCCUGUUUGCUCCCCAUGCUUUCGCGCCUCAGCGUCAGUUACAGCCCAGUAAACCGUCUUCACCACCGGUGUUCUUCCACAUAUCUACGCAUUUCACCGCUACACGUGGAAUUCCGUUUACCCUAACUGUACUCAAGUUUGGAAGUUUCAAAUGCAGCUCCGGGGUUGAGCCCCGGAAUUUCACAUCUGACUUUCCUAACCGCCUACGCGCCCUUUACGCCCAGUAAUUCCGAUCAAUGCUUGCACCCUCCGUAUUACCGCGGCUGCUGGCAC